AUUCUUACCUGGCAAGGGAGACACCGUGAUCACCAAGGCGGAUCACCCAGGGCGAGGCUCGGCCAUUGCACUGCGGCUGUGCUGACCCCUGCGAAUUUCCCAAAUGUGGAAAUCUCGAUUGCAUAAUUUCUGGUAGUGGGGGACUGCGUUUGCGCUCUCCCCUG
ensembl:snRNA U1 U1 spliceosomal RNA